rnacentral:rRNA from 1 species
CGUUCGUUGGGUAGGGGAGCGUUCUGUAAGCCUGUGAAGGUGUGUCGUGAGGCAUGCUGGAGGUAUCAGAAGUGCGAAUGCUGACAUAAGUAACGAUAAAGCGGGUGAAAAGCCCGCUCGCCGGAAGACCAAGGGUUCCUGUCCAACGUUAAUCGGGGCAGGGUGAGUCGACCCCUAAGGCGAGGCCGAAAGGCGUAGUCGAUGGGAAACGGGUUAAUAUUCCCGUACUUGGUGUUACUGCGAAGGGGGGACGGAGAAGGCUAUGUUGGCCGGGCGACGGUUGUCCCGGUUUAAGCGUGUAGGUGUGUGUUCCAGGUAAAUCCGGUUCACUUUAACACUGAGGCGUGACGACGAGGCACUACGGUGCUGAAGCAACAAAUGCCCUGCUUCCAGGAAAAGCCUCUAAGCAUCAGGUAACAUCAAAUCGUACCCCAAACCGACACAGGUGGUCAGGUAGAGAAUACCAAGGCGCUUGAGAGAACUCGGGUGAAGGAACUAGGCAAAAUGGUGCCGUAACUUCGGGAGAAGGCACGCUGACACGUAGGUGAAGUGAUUUACUCAUGGAGCUGAAGUCAGUCGAAGAUACCAGCUGGCUGCAACUGUUUAUUAAAAACACAGCACUGUGCAAACACGAAAGUGGACGUAUACGGUGUGACGCCUGCCCGGUGCCGGAAGGUUAAUUGAUGGGGUCAGCGCAAGCGAAGCUCCUGAUCGAAGCCCCGGUAAACGGCGGCCGUAACUAUAACGGUCCUAAGGUAGCGAAAUUCCUUGUCGGGUAAGUUCCGACCUGCACGAAUGGCGUAAUGAUGGCCAGGCUGUCUCCACCCGAGACUCAGUGAAAUUGAACUCGCUGUGAAGAUGCAGUGUACCCGCGGCAAGACGGAAAGACCCCGUGAACCUUUACUAUAGCUUGACACUGAACAUUGAGCCUUGAUGUGUAGGAUAGGUGGGAGGCUUUGAAGUGUGGACGCCAGUCUGCAUGGAGCCGACCUUGAAAUACCACCCUUUAAUGUUUGAUGUUCUAACGUGGACCCGUAAUCCGGGUUGCGGACAGUGUCUGGUGGGUAGUUUGACUGGGGCGGUCUCCUCCUAAAGAGUAACGGAGGAGCACGAAGGUUGGCUAAUCCUGGUCGGACAUCAGGAGGUUAGUGCAAUGGCAUAAGCCAGCUUGACUGCGAGCGUGACGGCGCGAGCAGGUGCGAAAGCAGGUCAUAGUGAUCCGGUGGUUCUGAAUGGAAGGGCCAUCGCUCAACGGAUAAAAGGUACUCCGGGGAUAACAGGCUGAUACCGCCCAAGAGUUCAUAUCGACGGCGGUGUUUGGCACCUCGAUGUCGGCUCAUCACAUCCUGGGGCUGAAGUAGGUCCCAAGGGUAUGGCUGUUCGCCAUUUAAAGUGGUACGCGAGCUGGGUUUAGAACGUCGUGAGACAGUUCGGUCCCUAUCUGCCGUGGGCGCUGGAGAACUGAGGGGGGCUGCUCCUAGUACGAGAGGACCGGAGUGGACGCAUCACUGGUGUUCGGGUUGUCAUGCCAAUGGCACUGCCCGGUAGCUAAAUGCGGAAGAGAUAAGUGCUGAAAGCAUCUAAGCACGAAACUUGCCCCGAGAUGAGUUCUCCCUGAGACUUAGAGUCUCCUGAAGGAACGUUGAAGACGACGACGUUGAUAGGCCGGGUGUGUAAG